AGAGUUUGAUCCUAGCUCAGGAUGAAUGCUGGCGGUAUGGAUAAGGCAUGCAAGUCGAGGGGCCCGCAAGGGCACCGGCAGUCGAGGUAGUAACACGUAGGAACGUACCCCGAAGUCAGGGAUAGCUCAUCGAAAGGUGAGGUAAUACUUGAUGGUCUCGCGAGAGUAAAGAUUUAUCGCUUCGGGAGCGGCCUGCGCAAUAUCAGCUAGUUGGUAAGGUAAUGGCUUACCAAGGCUACGACGUUUAGGGGAGCUGAGAGGCUGACCCCCACCGAGGGAACUGAGAGACGGUCCCUACUCCUACGGGAGGCCGCAGUCGAGAAUCUUCCGCAAUGGACGCAAGUCUGACGGAGCGAUACCGCGUGAAGGACGAAGUGCUUCGGCACGUAAACUUCUUUUGUCAGGGAUGAAAUUAUUGACAGUACCUGAAGAAUAAGGGGCUCCUAACUCUGUGCCAGCAGGAGCGGUAAUACAGAGGCCCCAAGCAUUAUCCGGAAUCACUGGGCGUAAAGGGUGUCGAGGCGGUCAUGUUAGUCGUUUGUAAAAUCCGGGAGCUCAACUUCCGGCCCGCAAGCGAAACGGCAUGACUAGAGAGCAGAAGAGGUGCAUGGAACUCACGGUGUAGGGGUGAAAUCCGUUGAUAUCGUGGGGAACACCAAAGGCGAAGGCAGUGCACUGGUCUGUUUCUGACGCUCACACACGAAAGCUAGGGUAGCGAACGGGAUUAGAUACCCCGGUAGUCCUAGCCCUAAACGUUGCUCGCUCGUUCUGCGGAGUAUCGACCCUCUGCGGGACUAAGCUAACGCGGUAAGCGAGCCGCCUGGGUAGUACGAUCGCAAGAUUAAAACUCAAAGGAAUAGACGGGGACUCGCACAAGCAGUGGAUCAUGUGGCUUAAUUCGUCGGUAAGCGAAGAACCUUACCAGGGCUAGAAACCAAACUGCACGCCCCCAGAAACGGGGGAAGCCUUCGAGGGUGUUUGGCAGGUGAUGCAUGGUUGUCGUCAGUUCGUGGCUUGAGCUGUUCCCUUCAGUGGGGUAACGAACGCAACCCUCGUUGUCUGUUAUAUAUGUCAGGCGAGACUGCCCCCUCACGGGGGAGGAAGGUGAGGAUGACGCCAAAUCAGCAUGUCCCUUGAUGCCCUGGGCCGCACACGUGAUACAAUGGUUAGUACAGAAGGAAGCAAGACCGCAAGGUGGAGCAAAUCCCAAAAACUGACCCCAGUACGGAUAGUGGUCUGCAACCGACCACUUGAAGCCGGAAUUGCUAGUAAUCGUGGGUCAGCCAUACCACGGUGAAUACGUUCUCGAGUCUUGUACUCACCGCCCGUCAACUCAAGGAAGUUGGAGGUGCCCAAAAUCUAGCUUAGCUGGACUACGGCAAAUUCAAUGACAGGGAGUAAGUCGUAACAAGGCACGGGUAGCGGAAGCUGCUCGUG
rnacentral:rRNA from 1 species